UUUUGUUUGCAGGCUACUCUUAAUCAGGGU
rnacentral:piRNA from 1 species